UACGAAGGGUGCAAGCGUUACUCGGAAUUACUGGGCGUAAAGCGUGCGUAGGUGGUGAGUUAAGUCUGAUGUGAAAUCCCCGGGCUUAACCUGGGAAUGGCAUUUGGGACUGCAAGGCUGGAGUGUGGCAGAGGAGACUGGAAUUCCUGGUGUAGCAGUGAAAUGCGUAGAUAUCAGGAGGAAUACCGAUGGCGAAGGCAGGUCUCUGGGCUGACACUGACGCUCAUGCACGAAAGCGUGGGGAGCAAACAGG
rnacentral:rRNA from 1 species